UACGGAGGAUCCAAGCGUUGUCCGGAUUUAUUGGGUUUAAAGGGUGCGUAGGCGGAUAAUUAAGUCAGUGGUGAAAUCUUGCGGCUCAACCGUAAAAUUGCCAUUGAAACUGAUUAUCUUGAGUACAGUUGAGGUGGGCGGAAUGUAUCAUGUAGCGGUGAAAUGCUUAGAUAUGAUACAGAACACCUAUUGCGAAAGCAGCUCACUAAACUGCAACUGACGCUGAGGCACGAAAGCGUGGGGAGCGAACAGG
rnacentral:rRNA from 1 species